rnacentral:rRNA from 1 species
UACGGGGGGGGCAAGCGUUGUUCGGAAUUACUGGGCGUAAAGGGCUCGUAGGUGGCCAACUAAGUCAGACGUGAAAUCCCUCGGCUUAACCGGGGAACUGCGUCUGAUACUGGAUGGCUUGAGUGUGGGAGAGGGAUGCGGAAUUCCAGGUGUAGCGGUGAAAUGCGUAGAUAUCUGGAGGAACACCGGUGGCGAAGGCGGCAUCCUGGACCAUUACUGACGCUGAGGCGCGAAAGCUAGGGGAGCAAACGGG